CUUUCCCCUUUUCUUUCUUUUCUUUUCUUUUCUUUUCUUUUUGUUGCAGCUAGCUGGAGCAAGCAACAUUUUCUAGGCCAAAACAGGAAU
rnacentral:ribozyme from 14 species